AACAUCCAACUUUGUAUUUUCACAGCAGUACAUGGAGUGGGACUGUGGGAUUUUAAAUGUAAUGAGAAAUACAAAGACUAAUUCCCAAAUAUCAAUAUCAAAACUUACUCCAGACUUUCAGAAACAAAGUGCAGGGAAAAAAAGGCUAAGCGAAAAUCCUGCAGUGGGAACAAAGCCUCCUGGAUGAAGAAUAACACAGAAAGUUUUCUUCCGAAGUGUUCUCAAAUCUUCUCCCAUGUGGCUAAAGCAGAUCCUUCAGCCUGCYGGCCUACGUUCUGUAAGAUGGAUGUGCUCUGUGUUCCCCCUCCUGCUUCCCACGUGAGGAAACAGGAUAUUAUGUUAUCUUAUAUGCACUGUAUGCAAACUAAAAACAAUAGAAAAUACAAUUUCAGUAUGACUUGAUCUUGGAAAUCAGUUGCAAAGGUUACGAGCAUGUCAGCCGAACAGGCAAGCUAGCUCAGGAGCAGGAAAUCAGGGAUACAACGCCCCAGGCUGCAAGUCAGGGGAUCUUGGUUCUAUUCCUGGCUUUGAGACUUUAAAAUAAACAUUUUUCAUGCAUAAAUGCA
rnacentral:lncRNA from 1 species